GACCUGAUAUCAGGCAAGACUACCCGCUGA
rnacentral:rRNA from 1 species